rnacentral:rRNA from 1 species
GACGUAGGGGGCGAGCGUUAUCCGGAAUUACUGGGCGUAAAGCGCCCGUAGGGGGUCGGGCAAGUUGGCCGUGAAAGCUCCCGGCUUAACUGGGAGAGGUCGGACAAAACUGCCAGGCUAGAGGACGAAAGAGGAGUGCGGAAUUCCCGGUGUAGUGGUGGAAUGCGUAGAUAUCGGGAGGAACACCAGUGGCGCAGGCGGCACUCUGGUUCGUACCUGACCCUGAGGGGCGAAAGCGUGGGGAGCGAACGGG